UCGAGAAUCUUCCGCAAUGGGCGAAAGCCUGACGGAGCGACGCCGCGUGAUGGAUGAAGUCCUUCGGGACGUAAACAUCUUUUAUGCGUGAGAAAGUCAUUGAUCAGCGCAUGAAUAAGGGGCUCCUAACUCUGUGCCAGCAGGAGCGGUAAUACAGAGGCCCCAAGCAUUAUCCGGAAUCACUGGGCGUAAAGGGUGUGUAGGCGGCUGUGUUAGUCUCUCGUGAAAGAUCUCGGGCUUAACCCGGGGGACGCGGGGGAAACGGCACAGCUUAGAGGACGUAAGAGGUACAGGGAACUCACAGUGUAGGGGUGAAAUCCGUUGAUAUUGUGGGGAACACCAAAUGCGAAGGCACUGUACUGGUACGCUCCUGACGCUGAAACACGAAAGCGUGGGAAUC
rnacentral:rRNA from 1 species